UACGUAGGGGGCAAGCGUUGUCCGGAUUUAUUGGGCGUAAAGAGCGUGUAGGCGGCCCGAUAAGUCCGCUGUGAAAGUCCAGGGCUCAACCCUGGGAUGCCGGUGGAAACUGUCGAGCUAGAGUCCGGAGGAGGCGAGUGGAAUUCCUGGUGUAGCGGUGAAAUGCGCAGAUAUCAGGAGGAACACCAAUGGCGAAGGCAGCUCGCUGGGACGGUACUGACGCUGAGACGCGAAAGCGUGGGGAGCAAACAGG
rnacentral:rRNA from 1 species